rnacentral:rRNA from 1 species
UACGUAGGGUGCAAGCGUUAAUCGGAAUUACUGGGCGUAAAGCGUGCGUAGGCGGUUCGUUAAGUCCGUUGUGAAAGCCCUGGGCUCAACCUGGGAAUGGCAGUGGAUACUGGCGAGCUAGAGUGUGAUAGAGGAUGGUGGAAUUCCCGGUGUAGCGGUGAAAUGCGUAGAGAUCGGGAGGAACACCAGUGGCGAAGGCGGCCAUCUGGAUCAACACUGACGCUGAGGCACGAAAGCGUGGGGAGCAAACAGGG